rnacentral:rRNA from 1 species
GACGAACCGUGCGAACGUUGUUCGGAAUCACUGGGCUUAAAGGGCGCGUAGGCGGGCGGUCAAGUCAGGGGUGAAAUCCCACGGCUCAACCGUGGAGGUGCCUUUGAUACUGGCCGCCUCGAGGGAGGUAGGGGCGUGCGGAACUUCCGGUGGAGCGGUGAAAUGCGUAGAUAUCGGAAGGAACACCGGUGGCGAAGGCGGCACUCUGGGCCGGUACUGACGCUGAGGAGCGAAAGCGUGGGGAGCGAACAGG